rnacentral:rRNA from 1 species
UGGGGAAUUUUGGACAAUGGGCGCAAGCCUGAUCCAGCCAUGCCGCGUGCGGGAAGAAGGCCUUCGGGUUGUAAACCGCUUUUGUCAGGGAAGAAAUCUUCUGAGUUAAUACCUCGGGAGGAUGACGGUACCUGAAGAAUAAGCACCGGCUAACUACGUGCCAGCAGCCGCGGUAAUACGUAGGGUGCAAGCGUUAAUCGGAAUUACUGGGCGUAAAGCGUGCGCAGGCGGUUUUGUAAGACAGAGGUGAAAUCCCCGGGCUCAACCUGGGAACUGCCUUUGUGACUGCAAGGCUUGAGUGCGGCAGAGGGGGAUGGAAUUCCGCGUGUAGCAGUGAAAUGCGUAGAUAUGCGGAGGAACACCGAUGGCGAAGGCAAUCCCCUGGGCCUGCACUGACGCUCAUGCACGAAAGCGUGGGGAGCAAACAGGAUUAGAUACCCCUGGUAGUCCACGCCCUAAACGAUGUCAACUGGUUGUUGGGAAGGUUCCUUCUCAGUAACGUAGCUAACGCGUGAAGUUGACCGCCUGGGGAGUACGGCCGCAAGGUUGAAACUCAAAGGAAUUGACGGGGUCAUAGCUGUUU